rnacentral:rRNA from 1 species
GAUGAACGCUGACAGAAUGCUUAACACAUGCAAGUCAACUUGAACUUCGGUUUGGGUGGCGGACGGGUGAGUAACGCGUAAAGAACUUGCCUCACAGAUAGGGACAACAUUUGGAAACGAAUGCUAAUACCUGAUAUUAUGAUUAUAUGGCAUCGUAUAAUUAUGAAAGCUAUAUGCGCUGUGAGAGAGCUUUGCGUCCCAUUAGCUAGUUGGAGAGGUAACGGCUCACCAGGGCGAUGAUGGGUAGCCGGCCUGAGAGGGUGAUCGGCCACAAGGGGACUGAGACACGGCCCUUACUCCUACGGGAGGCAGCAGUGGGGAAUAUUGGACAAUGGACCAAGAGUCUGAUCCAGCAAUUCUGUGUGCACGAUGAAGUUUUUCGGAAUGUAAAGUGCUUUCAGUUGGGAAGAAAAAAUGACGGUACCAACAGAAGAAGAGACGGCUAAAUACGUG